rnacentral:lncRNA from 1 species
AAAUAACGAUGCUUCACAACACUAAAUAACCUGUCUUCACCAACUCUUAAGAUAAACAAACGCUUAAAUAUAGAGACAAAGCUGCAUUUUGGUCGUUUUGUUGUACGCUUUUCCGUCUUUCUUUUUUUUAUGGAAGGUAUGGGAUGGCCUGGAAGAGCAACAGACACCGCGGCGACUGCCAUUCUUUCUGCUGAAAUCAGGGAUUUUCAUUGUGAACUAAAACUGUGAUAAUGUAGGUUAAGGAUUCUAUUGUAUCUUAUCCUACAUAUUGAAUUCAUCAGCGGUGCAGGAUUUCAGCACACGACCAAUAUCCACUCAAGCGUGUCGAAUAAGUAAAUAGUAUACAUUUUAUGUCAGCACUUUUAUUAUUGAAUAUGCUCUCUUGAUUUUACCCUCAUCAAGGCGUUUUCAUAUUUAAAAAAUAUAAGUUUUGGAGAUACAAUUUAUUGCUUACUGUUUGAGUAUACAUUUAUACUAUAACCAGAAAGUAGUUCGCACAAAGAAUAUGAAUGACGGAUUUUUGCGUUCUGUGGGCGUGGCCAAAAUAUUUUUCCCAAUAGCUUGCAAGACAAAAAAAUCAAAACAUUGUUUUAAGUGUGUAUCGGUUUUGCGCGAGUUAACUCCUUGUGUAGGUUCAGGAGAUAGAAGUGAGACUUUGAUUUGAUGUUGAUUCCCAGAGAAAGGUCCGUUGGAGUUGAGGUUGAAAAUCUGAAUGAAUUCUUUUAUAUCUUUCUCCUACUUUACAGUUUGGAUUGGUACAUUUACGACCGUAAACUAGAAGUGGAGCGGAUGCGAUUCUGUGUCGUCAAGUGGCCCCGAUGCUUAGAUCGAUUCAGAAUCUCCAGUGCUAAUCGACAAAGACUCAGCGUUCAAGUGGUCGCCGAUGCAGCAUUUCGGAUGUUUGUUGAUACUAUGUUUUAGCGUUUAAGUGGGCCGCAACAAUGUACUUGGUGAUAUAUAGUUACUGGUACCGUAGCAGGUGUAGCUAUAGUGGGUGUGAAGGUGGCAUGUGGUGUAGUCUCUGGUGUGAAAAUUGUUGUGUUCUUUGGGAAACAUGCGACGACAAAUACUACUAUCAGUAGUAUAUCGAGCAUCGUGUAAGUCCUUGUUGUUUGGAUCGUGGUUUCCCACUGUAAUUUGUUGAUCUGCAUUUUUGUUUCCAUAUCCUCCAUCCUCAGCUGUUGUAUUCCCAACUGGUGGGUUGUCCUGUUUCUCUUAAUCGUCUCUACCCGAGGUAUGUCCAACAUCAAUUCUUCUGUGCCAAGCCUCUCCACCGCUUCGUAUUGUACGUUGUACACCAUCGCCUUGCAAUGGGUGAAUGUUUUGUCGACUCCGAAAUCCGUCU